rnacentral:rRNA from 1 species
UGGGAAUAUUGGACAAUGGGGCAACCCUGAUCCAGCCAUGCCGCGUGUGUGAAGAAGGCCUUUUGGUUGUAAAGCACUUUAAGCAGGGAGGAGAGGCUAAUGGUUAAUACCCAUUAGAUUAGACGUUACCUGCAGAAUAAGUACCGGCUAACUCUGUGCCAGCAGCCGCGGUAAUACAGAGGGUGCGAGCGUUAAUCGGAAUUACUGGGCGUAAAGCGAGUGUAGGUGGCUCAUUAAGUCACAUGUGAAAUCCCCGGGCUUAACCUGGGAACUGCAUGUGAUACUGGUGGUGCUAGAAUAUGUGAGAGGGAAGUAGAAUUCCAGGUGUAGCGGUGAAAUGCGUAGAGAUCUGGAGGAAUACCGAUGACGAAGGCAGCUUCCUGGCAUAAUAUUGACACUGAGAUUCGAAAGCGUGGGUAGCAAACAGGAUUAGAUACCCUGGUAGUCCACGCCGUAAACGAUGUCUACUAGCCGUUGGGGUCCUUGAGACUUUAGUGGCGCAGUUAACGCGAUAAGUAGACCGCCUGGGGAGUACGGCCGCAAGGUUAAAAC